rnacentral:tRNA from 1 species
CGACUUCAUGGCCCAAUGGAUAAGGCGCUGGUCUACGGAACCAGAGAUUCUGGGUUCGAUCCCCAGUGAAGUCGUC